rnacentral:rRNA from 1 species
CCUACGGGCGGCUGCAGUGAGGAAUAUUGGUCAAUGGACGAGAGUCUGAACCAGCCAAGUAGCGUGAAGGAUGACUGCCCUAUGGGUUGUAAACUUCUUUUAUAUGGGAAUAAAAUGUUCCACGUGUGGGAUUUUGUAUGUACCAUAUGAAUAAGGAUCGGCUAACUCCGUGCCAGCAGCCGCGGUAAUACGGAGGAUCCGAGCGUUAUCCGGAUUUAUUGGGUUUAAAGGGAGCGUAGGCGGAUUGUUAAGUCAGUUGUGAAAGUUUGCGGCUCAACCGUAAAAUUGCAGUUGAUACUGGCAGUCUUGAGUACAGUAGAGGUGGGCGGAAUUCGUGGUGUAGCGGUGAAAUGCUUAGAGAUCACGAAGAACUCCGAUGGCGAAGGCAGUUCACUGGACUGCAACUGACACUGAGGCUCGAAAGUGUGGGUAUCAAACAGGAUUAGAUACCCCUGUAGUC